CGCGAAACAUAUUAUCUCUACCCUUCUUACAUUAUAGUUAACUUUAACUCUCGCCCAAUUUCAGAACCCUAUUCUUCGAAGCUCUCUGGCACUAUCGUUUCACAGGAAAAAUGAGCAGCCGUGCGAGCAGAACUCUUUAUGUCGGAAAUCUCCCGGGUGAUAUCCGUGAGAGAGAAGUUGAAGAUUUAUUUUACAAGUAUGGACCUAUAGCCCAUAUUGAUCUGAAGAUCCCACCAAGGCCUCCUGGCUAUGCAUUUAUUGAGUUUGAAGAGGCUCGAGAUGCCGAGGAUGCGAUUCGUGGUCGGGAUGGCUAUGACUUUGAUGGGCACCGAUUACGGGUGGAACUUGCGCAUGGUGGGCGAGGACGUUCAUCAUCUGAUCGUCAUAGUAGUUACAGCAGUGGUCGUGGACGUGGAGUAUCCAGGCGCUCUGAAUAUCGCGUGUUAGUCACUGGAUUACCCUCUUCUGCUUCGUGGCAAGACCUUAAGGAUCACAUGCGUCGAGCAGGAGAUGUCUGUUUCUCCCAAGUUUUUCGUGAUGGUAGUGGCACAACUGGAAUUGUGGAUUACACAAACUAUGAUGACAUGAAGCAUGCAAUCAAAAAACUUAAUGACUCAGAGUUUCGGAAUGCAUUUUCUCGGUCCUAUGUUCGUGUAAGGGAGUAUGAUUCUAGGCGAGACCACUCGCAAAGCCCUGGUCGAGGCCGAUCUUUUUCAAAAGACAGGAGUGAAAGCCGCAGCCGUAGUCGUAGUCGUGCUCGAAGUUACAGUCGGAGCAGGAGCAGGAGCAAAUCUCCCAAAGCCAAAUCUUCGCGUCGCUCUCCUGCUAGAUCUAGAUCGAGGUCUGUUUCUUCUCGCUCUCGCUCUGGAUCAAAACCACGAUCUUUGUCAAGAUAAUGGAUAUAUGCUGCGAAAUGGGGAUUGGAUAUUAGGACUUGAUGGAAUAUGGUUCAAUUGCCUGCAAUCUUUUGGUUGUGGAGGUAUGCUUUUUUCAGAUAGGAAACUUUGGAAACCUUCAUGGUGUCUCUGUUCUAAUACGAUUAGCAUCACAAAUGUCCAUGGGUGCUAGAUUGGGAACAAAGGAGAGAAUGGAUUGCAAUAAUAGAGCUGGAUUUCAGCGAAUUAAGUGCCACUGGGAUCUGGAAGUCACCAUCAGUGAGCGGUAGAAACAAAUUCAUUGUGAUUUUCUGCUCCAACAAAAUUGCCAAGCUAAUAGGAUGUGCUAUCUGGAUUCUCUUGGAUUUUUUGUGAGGCCCAAGGUUCUUGGAUGACAAUUCUUAAAAGGAACGUGUGGAUUUUAAAUUUGGGUUGUUUCUGGAACUUUUGCAGAUCUCAAUCAAGAUCAAGAUCUCCAUUGCCUCCUAAACGAACGAGUAAAAGCCCAAAAAAGCACAGUGUUAGCAGGAGCCCCAGUGGAAGCAGAAGCAGGAGCAGAAGCAAGAGUUUAUCCCGGUGAGAAUGGUGUUUGGUGAUCUGUGGAUGCUAUGGAUGUGGGAGAAGUUUCAUUUUGCCUUAGUUGUUGUAUGAAUGGUAAUUUGGAAUCCUUAUUUGAAGCAGACUUGUCUCUCUUAUUCUGGAUCAUUGACGGAUUUGAAACGGUCUUUGAUGUUAUUUUGACUGUUAGAUUCUUGAGCUUUUUCUUACUUUGAGGUGUGUUGGAAUACUUGAAUUGAGGUAAAUUCUCGCACAUAUUCCUUGUGGUGGUUUGGUGUGUUGUUGAUUGUUGAUGUAUGUCUUUUGGGGAUUUUAGGUAUAGAGUUGCUAUGGUAAUGAUACAGGAUAAGGCUUUAAAGUUGGUCC